GACGAACGCUGGCGGCGUGCCUAAUACAUGCAAGUAGAACGCACAGUUUAUACCGUAGCUUGCUACACCAUAGACUGUGAGUUGCGAACGGGUGAGUAACGCGUAGGUAACCUGCCUGGUAGCGGGGGAUAACUAUUGGAAACGAUAGCUAAUACCGCAUAAUAUUGAUUAUUGCAUGAUAAUUAAUUGAAAGGUGCAAUUGCACCACUACCAGAUGGACCUGCGUUGUAUUAGCUAGUAGGUGAGGUAACGGCUCACCUAGGCGACGAUACAUAGCCGACCUGAGAGGGUGAUCGGCCACACUGGGACUGAGACACGGCCCAGACUCCUACAGGAGGCAGCAGUAGGGAAUCUUCGGCAAUGGACGAAAGUCUGACCGAGCAACGCCGCGUGAGUGAAGAAGGUUUUCGGAUCGUAAAGCUCUGUUGUAAGAGAAGAACGGGUGUGAGAGUGGAAAGUUCACACUGUGACGGUAUCUUACCAGAAAGGGACGGCUAACUACGUG
rnacentral:rRNA from 1 species